rnacentral:lncRNA from 1 species
CACAUCUUCUGAGUAGAAAUGGUUGGCUUAUAGAAGAGGUCAUGACACUCCAAGGGGUUCCACUGGGUGACUAUUUCACUGUAUGUACACUAGCACCUUUAGCACGCGUUAUAAUCCUGUGACGUGUAUUUCUGGUCUUUAUUCCUCAUGCUAUACAGGUCCUUUUGAUAUUACAUUGCAUUGUUUCCAAACAUGUUUGAACAUGUUACCUUUCUCUUGCAUUUUAGUUAAGAAAGUUAACUUUUCUGCUCUUUUAGCUGACUGGCCAAAUAAGUAACUUAUUUCCAAUUUUAGACUCAUGGAAAAAUUACUUGUUUUGUAACUUUAUGUUGCUGACUAAUAUGCUGUGCUUAUUUGCAGCUUCAUUUGAGAUAUCAGGUUGAGGACCAACCUUCUAGAUCAGUGGGAUGUAUUGUUCAGGUGUACUUUGGAAUUGCAUGGUUGAAAUACACCCGACAUCAGAAAAGGAUCACUAAGAACAUCACUUCAAAUCUUCAACAGCGCCUAAUGGUCAUGUUCAGUUUACUAGAGAAGGAAUAUGUGUCGGGAGCUUAGAUGAUGAAUCCGGACAAUGUUGGUUUCUCUUCGGUGAAUUCAACCGGGAAAAGAUCCCAAGGCUUUCAUAGAUGAUGGUCAAGAUUACUCGUUGUUAGUACUCAGUGCAUAUUUGGUGUACUACCGAAGAGGAUUGAACAUUUAUUCCUUAAUAUCGUCUAGUGUUAUCCAAUCCUUCCUACCAAAUAUGGCUGUAGGAAACUGUCUUACUGGUUUUAUGUGGGUCUCCAAAUAACGGUAAUGUCAGUGUCAAAUUACAGAAUAUGCUGCGAAUUACAUCUUUAGGAGAAAUACAGUCGACUACUAGACGAGAAGACAGUCUUUCAAAAGUCUAUUGCGAAUGGGUCGCCAAGUGUAUGUACAUGUAGAAGAGAAAUUGUUGGUGGGAAACUCGACAGAAUUUUAUUCAUUUGACAGUCUCUGAUCAAGGCCAGAGACAAGCCUAAUUCUGGUUGGAUAUUGUUUUCAAAUGUUUUUUAACAGAUCAUAGAAGGAAUAAUAUUAAUACACAUGUAAUCUUUUUGUAGGUAUAUUAUUGUAGUGCCUGAGAUAUUGGUGCAAAAAUUUCCAGUGCUAGAAUGGAAUUUGAGUCCAACAUAGGUGGCUGCAACUUCAAUGUAAUUUUAACAUUCAUGUUUUAGAGAAAUUGUCGAAAAUUAAGCCUAUGUUUGGAAUUCUGCUUAUUAUUGUGGUUACUGAAUUCUUGCAGAG